GUUAAACGAGAAGACUUUAGAUAUGAUCCAGAGUACCACGGGACACGUGAAACCCUGUGGGAAGCAGGAGGGACCACCCUCCAAGGCUAAAUACUACCUAGUGACCGAUAGCGUAUAGUACCGUGAGGGAAAGGUGAAAAGAACCCCGGGAGGGGAGUGAAAUAGAACCUGAAACCCUGCACUUACAAGCUGUGGAAGCACAUUUCUUGUGUGACCGCGUACUUUUUGUAGAACGGGCCAACGAGUUACGUUAAGUAGCAAGGUUAAGCACUUAAGGUGCGGAGCCGUAGCGAAAGCGAGUUUUAACUGAGCGUUCAGUUACUUGACGUAGACCCGAAACCGGGCGACCUACCCAUGAGCAGGAUGAAGCGAAAGUAAAAUUUCGUGGAGGUCCGAACCCACGAGCGUUGAAAAGCUCGGGGAUGACUUGUGGGUAGCGGUGAAAUUCCAAUCGAGCCCGGAGAUAGCUGGUUCUCCCCGAAAUAGCUUUAGGGCUAGCCUCAAGGUGAGAGAUACGGAGGUAGAGCACUGAAUGUCCUAGGGGGUAUUGCACCUACCGAAGACUAUCAAACUCCGAAUGCCGUCAUCUUAUACUUGGGAGUCAGACUGUGGGUGAUAAGAUUCAUAGUCGAAAGGGCAACAGCCCAGAUCGUCAGCUAAGGUCCCUAAAUGUAAGUUAAGUGGUAAAGGAUGUGGGAUUGCACAGACAACCAGGAUGUUGGCUUAGAAGCAGCCACUCAUUCAAAGAGUGCGUAAUAGCUCACUGGUCGAGUGAUCCUGCGCCGAAGAUUUCCGGGGCUAAAACUU
rnacentral:rRNA from 1 species